GGCUGCAUGGUGUAAUGACUAGCACAUUCCAUUUUUAAAGAUUUCAAAAAGGAGAGAUGUCGGUUCAAAUCCGACUGCGGCCC